GAUGAACGCUGGCGGCAUGCCUAAUACAUGCAAGUCGAACGAGAGGAAGGAAAGCUUGCUUUUCUGAAUCUAGUGGCGAACGGGUGAGUAACACGUAGGUAACCUGCCCAUGUGCCCGGGAUAACUUCUGGAAACGGAUGCUAAAACCGGAUAGGUAGCAGACAAGCAUUUGACUGCUAUUAAAGUGGCUAAGGCCAUGAACAUGGAUGGACCUGCGGUGCAUUAGCUAGUUGGUGAGGUAACGGCCCACCAAGGCGACGAUGCAUAGCCGGCCUGGGAGGGCGGACGGCCACAUUGGGACUGAGACACGGCCCAAACUCCUACGGGAGGCAGCAGUAGGGAAUUUUCGUCAAUGGGGGGAACCCUGAACGAGCAAUGCCGCGUGAGUGAGGAAGGUCUUCGGAUCGUAAAGCUCUGUUGUAAGAGAAAAACGACAUUCAUAGGGAAUGAUGAGUGAGUGAUGGUAUCUUACCAGAAAGUCACGGCUAACUACGUGCCAGCAGCCGCAGUAAAAC
rnacentral:rRNA from 1 species